ACCCCAAACCAGCAGUAGCUAAAAAUAGCAGAAAAAUGCAAAACAUCAGGCUCACGAACAAGGUCAAGCGAUGCAAAGAACAAGUUAUUCCCAUUAAUAUUCGCGAUCGCCAAGAGAGAAACACGGUCGCGGCUCAGUGGGAAUUUUUCGUUCUUCACGAAUGCCUGAACCUGACAUGAUCGCAGUUCUCCCGGGUAAGUGCCCGUCCAAUAAGACACUGGAAAUCAGUUAUUGAACCCUCUUCUCCUCAUAAGUCAUUCUCUUUCUCCCUCACCCUUCGAAAAUCCCAUCACCCUUACCCACAAAGCAGAUUCUUCCCCUUUGCAUUGAAGGAAUUUGAGGGCUUAAUUUGAGGCAAGCCCUCUCUAGUCGCCUCUGUUCUCACCUCUAUUUUAUUUCUUUUCAAUUCAAGGUGAUUUUACAGGUAUAUCUUUUAUCCAUUGUUCUAUCAGGCUUCAGUAUGUUAUGAAAGUAUCAUCAUCUAAAAUCUCCUGAAACUCAAAGGAUUGAGUAUUUUUGUGAAAUUUGUUACUAAUCUGAAAAUUGGCUGAAAGCUAUGGCUUAGGAUGUGGCUUGAAUAUUGAUUCAAUUUGUCUGUGUGCUUGUUUGUUGGGUGAGGUUGGCUGAGAGGUUGAUUAGGUUGUAUUCUGUAAAAAUUUUGGGGUUUAGAUCCGAGCUUUAAUGCUGGGGAAUUUCUAUAAAGUCGAUGCCCACCGUGUGCUUGAUGAAAUGUCAGAAAGAAUUGUUUUUGGGUGAGGAAGAAGACCUUCGCAAUCGCGAUGCCCCAUUCCGCGAUCACGUAUGUCUAAUUUUUUUUAUAUGAAAAUUUCCCUUCACGAUCAUGACGUCCUUUUGACAAUCACAAUACUCUAUAUCUGCUGAAAACAAAAAUGUCUUCGCCAACGUGGUGCCUAUUUCUCAUUCACGAUUCUCUACCCUCCAUGCUGCCAAAAUAGUAGCCUUCCAGAUUUUGAUUUGUACUUGAGCAUAAAUGGCAUUGAGAAAUGAUGAAACUUGCAAUCACCUAUACCCCAUGCUUUGGAAGAGGAGUAUUUUGAUCGGGACAGAUUCAUAAUUACUGAAUGUGAAAGAAAAUAUGACAGAACCAUGUCACAGAGCAUCGUCAAGGAAAGGGGUAUCCAUGUCGACAAACUUGAAGCUAUGAUGCCAGAUUUUUUUAGAAUAUUGACUAGCAGUGGAUGAAUUUGCUUCACUCAUGAAUCAAUCAAAGUUAACUACAUAAUAGUUGGGUAAUUUUACGCAAAUGUCCUAAGAGCUGACUUCUAAGGGAAACUAUUUACCAUUGUUAGGGUUAAGCGCGUAAACAUUGGUCUGGAGGUACUAAAUGCACAUUUUGGACUUCCUAAUGUUGACAACAAGGUAUACAAAGCUAGAGCAAAGGAGAGGGAAAGCCAGUGGUUGGUAGAAAUGAUUCAUGAUGGGGUAACCCUGAUUUGGGAAAGAUUGCACAAAGGGGUUGAGUUUUCUGAAUUCAUAGCUGAAGCCAAAACUUGGUUGUCCAUAAUUGGUGCUAGAAUUAUGCCAUCUAUACAUGAGUCCGAGGUGACUUCUGACACGGCAUUGAUGAUUACUACUAUUAUAGAUAACUUACAUGUGAACGUGGGCCUACAUGUGGUGACUGAGACUGAUGAAGCAUGUAACAGGAGUUCUAAGAGUCUAUUCUUUACAUCAUUGAUUACUCAGUUGUUCUAUGAUGUUGGGGUUCUAAAAGACCCACAUGAUUCUGAGAAAGGCACAAACAAACCAAUUAAUCCCUUAAUCAGAAAGGGACCAAGUGGUGAGUACAAGAAGAGAAAGAUUGAUUUAUCAUCUUGUAACGACCCGACCAGUUGCUUUGUGUAAUUGCUCCUAGUUUCCCCUUUUUAUGCUUCACACAUGUAUUUUUAUGAUUUUAUGACUUGGGGGGUCGGUUAGUUUCGUUCUAGGAAGCUUUCGGGUUGAUUUAAACCCUUUGGUUGACUUAGAAGCUAAAAGUAGAAAUGUUUACCAAACUUUGACUUUUGUGAAAACAACCCCAGAACGGUAUUUUCAUGGCUGCGAUAUCUUUGUAUCAUGAUUUCGGACUUGGGCAUAUGCCCGAAAUUGAUAUCAGAAGUCCGAAGGUUGAUUCGUAUUGUUUUGCCGAAAUUAGGCAAUUUGAAUUUGAAAAGUUUGAUCGUAGGUUGAAUUUUAGCUA